rnacentral:rRNA from 1 species
CCUACGGGGGACUGCAGUGAGGAAUAUUGGUCAAUGGCCGGAAGGCUGAACCAGCCAUGCCGCGUGAAGGGCAGGGGCCUACGGGCGUUAAACUUCUUUUGUGCGGGAGCAAGAAUGGUAACGUGUGGCAAGACGAGAGGACCGUACGAAUAAGCAGCGGCGAACUCCGGGCCAGCAGCCGGGGUAAGACGGGGGAUGCAAGCGUUAGCCGGAGUUAUUGGGUUUAAAGGGUGCGUAGGCUGUGAGGUAAGUCAGCGGGGAAAUGCCCCCGCUCCACUGGGUGAAGUGCCAUUGAUACUGCCUUGCUGGAGUGCGGCUGCCGUGGUCGGAAUGUGUGGUGUAGCGCU